GACAGAGGUGCCGAGCGUUAGGCGGAAUCACUGGGCUUAAAGCGUGUGUAGGCGGACUUCUAAGUACCUUGUGAAAUCCCACGGCUCAACCGUGGAACUGCUUGGUAUACUGGUCGUCUUGAGCCACUUAGGGGCAGUCGGAACAGACGGUGGAGCGGUGAAAUGCGUAGAGAUCGGAAGGAACGUCGAUGGCGAAGGCAGCCACCUGGCAUAAUACUGACGCUGAGGCGCGAAAGCCAGGGGAGCAAACGGG
rnacentral:rRNA from 1 species